UGAUUUCCAGAAAGUUCCUUGGAGCAGUAUCAUUUGUAACUACACGCGGGAAGCUGAAUGGAUCUUCAUCAAAGAUUAGCUAUCCUGAAUAGAUUACAUAGUAAUGAUGGACACAGUGCAAGAAGCUGAAUGAAUGUAUCAACGCUCCACCAAAAAGCUGUACAUUGUAAUGAGGGGUGAUUUCCAGAAAGUUCCUUUGAGUAGGAUCAUUUGUAAAUACACGCGGGCAGCUGAAUAUAUCUUCAUCACAAGAUUAGCUAUCCUGAAAAGAUUGCACAGUUAGGAUGGACACAGUGAAAGAAGCUGAGUGAAUACAUCAAUACUCCAUCAAAAAGCUGUACAUUAUAAUGAGGGGUGAUUUCCAGAAAGGUCCUUGGAGAAGGAUCAUUUGUAAAUACACGCGGGCAGCUGAAUGGAUCUUCAUCACGAGAUUAGCUAUCUUGAAUAGAUUGCAAAGUAAAGAUGGACACAGUGCAAGAAGCUGAAUGAAUGCAUCAAUACUCCAUCAAAAAGCUGUACAUUGUAAUGAGGGCUGAUUUCCAGAAAGUUCCUUGGAGCAGUAUCAUUUGAAACUACGCGCGGAUAGCUGAAUGGAUCUUCAUCACAAGAUUAGCUAUCUUGAAUAGAUUGCACAGUAAGGAUGGACACAGUGCAAGAAGAUGAAUGAAUGCAUCAAUGCUCCACCAAAAAGCUGUAUAUUGUAAUGAGGGGUGAUUUCCAGAAAGUUCCUUGGAGCAGGAUCAUUUGUAAAUACACGCGGGCAGCUGAAUGGAUCUUCAUCACAAGAUUAGCUAUCUUGAAUAAAUUGCACAGUAAGGAUGGACACAGUGCAAGAAGCUGAAUGAAUGCAUCAAUACUCCAUCAAAAAGCUGUACAUUGUAAUGACGGCUGAUUUCUAGAAAGUUCCUAGGAGCAGUAUCAUUUGUAACUACACGCGGACAGCUGAGUGGAUCUUCAUCACAAGAUUAGCGAUCCUGAAUAGAUUGCACAGUAAGGACGUACACAGUGCAAGAAGCUGAAUGAAUGCAUCAAUGCUCCAUCAAAAAGCUGUACAUUGUAAUGAGGGGUGAUUUCCACAAAGUUCCUUGGAGCAGGAUCAUUUGUAACUAUACGAGGGCAACUGAAUGGAUCUUCAUCUCAAAAUCUGCUAUCCUGAAUAGAUUGCACAGUAAGGAUGGGCUAAUGAAGCAGGGCAUCACAGAUAACCAACUGCGGUCCUAUGCGGUGGAGGCAUUGAAUCUAGUGAACAUCUCUUCUUUAUUUGCGAUUACUUGAAACUCAAUAUGGACAGAACUCUUAAAUUGGCAAGGUGUCACAGAGUAGCUACAACAUGGCAAGAGGAGCUGGACUGGGCCAACGAAAUGCACGAUGGAAAGGACCAGCAACAACUAUAUUCAGAAUGAGCAUUGCAACUGUAGUUUACAACGUUUGGAUAGAGAGGAAUCAGAGGAAAUUCCAAGCCAAGUCCAUUGAUCCACGCGUGAUAACCAGAAGAGUAGUGUAGGAGAUCUUUCAGAGGGUCUUUGAAGCCUCAGCACAAUAACAAAUUAGUAGAUGUCAACUACUAUCCUUAGUGGUAUUUUGUUUUUCCAAUCAUUAUUGCCUUUAACGUUAUGGUUAAUAGUUGGCUAACUGAUUGGUUGCUAUGCCAAUGCAGUUUGGAUUUGUACGGAACGUUAGCACUUUUUGAAAAAGAAAAGUAGCUUAUCUUAGGAAGAAGAAAAAAUCAAUGAUUCUACAGAACAGAGAGAUCAUAUCUGCAGUUAAAUCUUCCUAUGAUAAUUAGCAAAAAUGAAAUUUUACUAGAAUAAACUGGAGAACCAACUAC
rnacentral:lncRNA from 1 species